rnacentral:rRNA from 1 species
AGUGAACGCUGGCGGCAGGCCUAACACAUGCAAGUCGAACGGCAGCACAGUAAGAGCUUGCUCUUACGGGUGGCGAGUGGCGGACGGGUGAGGAAUACAUCGGAAUCUACUUUUUCGUGGGGGUUAACGUAGGGAAACUUACGCUAAUACCGCAUACGACCUACGGGUGAAAGCAGGGGAUCUUCGGACCUUGCGCGAUUGAAUGAGCCGAUGUCGGAUUAGCUAGUUGGCGGGGUAAAGGCCCACCAAGGCGACGAUCCGUAGCUGGUCUGAGAGGAUGAUCAGCCACACUGGAACUGAGACACGGUCCAGACACCUACGGGAGGCAGCAGUGGGGAAUAUUGGACAAUGGGCGCAAGCCUGAUCCAGCCAUACCGCGUGGGUGAAGAAGGCCUUCGGGUUGUAAAGCCCUUUUGUUGGGAAAGAAAAGCAGCAGGUUAAUACCCCGCUGUUCUGACGGUACCCAAAGAAUAAGCACCGGCUAACUUCGUG